ACUCCUACGGGAGGCAGCAGUGGGGAAUUUUGGACAAUGGGCGAAAGCCUGAUCCAGCCAUGCCGCGUGCAGGAUGAAGGCCUUCGGGUUGUAAACUGCUUUUGUACGGAACGAAACGGCCUUUUCUAAUAAAGAGGGCUAAUGACGGUACCGUAAGAAUAAGCACCGGCUAACUACGUGCCAGCAGCCGCGGUAAUACGUAGGGUGCAAGCGUUAAUCGGAAUUACUGGGCGUAAAGCGUGCGCAGGCGGUUAUGUAAGACAGUUGUGAAAUCCCCGGGCUCAACCUGGGAACUGCAUCUGUGACUGCAUAGCUAGAGUACGGUAGAGGGGGAUGGAAUUCCGCGUGUAGCAGUGAAAUGCGUAGAUAUGCGGAGGAACACCGAUGGCGAAGGCAAUCCCCUGGACCUGUACUGACGCUCAUGCACGAAAGCGUGGGGAGCAAACAGGAUUAGAAACCCGAGUAGUCCC
rnacentral:rRNA from 1 species